GACAGAGGUGCCGAGCGUUAGGCGGAAUCACUGGGCUUAAAGCGUGUGUAGGCGGAUCGUUAAGUGCCGUGUGAAAUCCCACGGCUCAACCGUGGAACUGCUUGGCAUACUGGCGAUCUUGAGCCACUUAGGGGCUACCGGAACAAAUGGUGGAGCGGUGAAAUGCGUAGAUAUCAUUUGGAACGCCAAUGGUGAAAACAGGUAGCUGGGAGUGUGCUGACGCUGAGACACGAAAGCCAGGGGAGCAAACGGG
rnacentral:rRNA from 1 species